CCUAGGGUGGCUGCAGUGGUGAAUCUUUCCCCAUGGGCGCAAGCCUGAUGCAGCCAUGCCGCGUGUAUGAAGAAGGCCUUCUUUUUUUAAAGUACUUUCAGCGGGGAGGAAGGGAGUAAAGUUAAUACCUUUGCUCAUUGACGUUACCCGCAGAAGAAGCACCGGCUGACUCCGUGCCAGCAGCCGCGGUAAUACGGAGGGUGCAAGCGUUAAUCGGAAUUACUGGGCGUAAAGCGCACGCAGGCGGUUUGUUAAGUCAGAUGUGAAAUCCCCGGGCUCAACCUGGGAACUGCAUCUGAUACUGGCAAGCUUGAGUCUCGUAGAGGGGGGUAGAAUUCCAGGUGUAGCGGUGAAAUGCGUAGAGAUCUGGAGGAAUACCGGUGGCGAAGGCGGCCCCCUGGACGAAGACUGACGCUCAGGUGCGAAAGCGUGGGGAGCAAACAGGAUUAGAUACCCCCGUAGUC
rnacentral:rRNA from 1 species